AACAUCGCGCACCUGCGGGAACCUGCGGAAGGAUCAUUACAGAGUUGCAAAACUCCCUAAACCAUUGUGAACCUACCUUCUACCGUUGCUUCGGCGGGCGGGCCUAGCGCCCCCCCGGCCCCCCGCGGGCGCCCGCCGGAGGAUAACCAAACUCUUGACAUCAGUGGCCUCUCUGAGUAUUCUUUACUGAAUAAGUCAAAACUUUCAGCAAUGGAUCU
rnacentral:misc_RNA from 1 species